CAUAUACCUUUGCACACUAUUUUCCAGGAUGGGGAGGGUGGGGGUGAUAAGAGUAAUGAUGUCAAUUUUUUUUCUUAAACUCAAACGAACAUAAUGUUACAUAUGUACACACAUUAUAAAAUAAUUUAAAAAAUAAUUCAAUCACAAAAACAGUUGCAGGUUGAAUGUACAGUUUACUUCAAAAAAGGGAUACAUACAUGAGGGAACAUUGGGUAAAGACCAGUUCUGAUAAACCAUUUCUGCUAAUUGUAUCUCAAUAACAGAAUGGCUGGCUGUGGCAGUUUUAUUCCUGCUGGCAUACACUUGCUUACAAUAUUAACAGGACAGUGAAUAAAGGAACAUUUUAAUUUGUAUGGCCUGAAAGGAAAUCAUGAUUAUAUUAUACACAGUGUGAGUUUUUAGUACACGGCAUCAGGUUAUUUUCUUAUUUGUAUGACAUACUCAACAGCAGGGAGGAGAGAAGUUAACAAUAACUAACACUAUAAUAAUCAAAUUUUGUAUGUUAUACAUGUACAGCAACUAACUGCUUUACAAAAAAGCAAAAUAAUACAAUAUAUUGUCACAUGUAUUUACAGUGUAGUAAAUAUACUUUUCUGUCAAAUUUUACACAAAAAAUAUUUACAGAUGAAUGUACUGCAUUAAAAAAAAAUAAUGUGGCUAACACUUAAAAGUUACUUUUUGUGGUAGUCUGUUGCAUAACAUUGGGUAAGACAUGCUUAGAAAAGGAUAAACUCAGAAAAUAAAGCAUAAAAGCCUUACACGCAAACAGAUUAAUAGGAAUAGAGGACAGUGUGUGUGUGUGUGUGUGUGUGUGUGUGAUUUUCUAUGAGCCCACAUGUCUGAACAUCAAUAUGCACAUCAAAGUCAAUGCAGUUCCAAAUUAGAUAUAUUUUAGUCUGCAAAAGUCCUCAACUUUAACUGGGCAAUUUGCAAACAGUGUAUCAAAGCUAUUCGCUAAACCUAGAAUGUAGGCCAAAUUGAAUAUCCAAAUUGCAAGGAUUUGCCAACUCCACAGUUUUACAGAAGAUAAAAAAACAAAACAAAUCUAAACAGAAAAAGAAAUUCUAAAGGCAGUUGAAAUUCUACAGAUAUUGAGAGAGAGGAACACACAAAUAUGUUUAAAUCUACACACUAAAGAAUAUUUUGUAGCCAGCUGGCAAGGUUUCAUGGGAACUAGCAGACGUUGGGAGUAAUCUCAGCUCUGGAUGUACCUUUUGCACUGCUUUAAAAAAAGAGAUACCAUUUGCAGCACAGGACAACAGCAACAAGAAUUAAUAAAUAAAUAAUUGUGAAGUAAGAGGCUAAGAUGGCCCAUAUAUUUUAACUAGCUUUAUAACUUUAGUAAGCACCUACUCCUCUCAAUAAUUGAAAAUUAAAACUAAAGGAAAGAAAUGAGACAUUGAUCUACUAUACAGAAUAAAAAUAAAUAGGUAAGCAUGUGAUAUAUUCGCUAUAAAAAAAAAACAAACACUUUAUAAAAAGUAUAGUAAUCACAAAGACAGACAUUUGAAAUAAAAAAAAAUUAACGAAACAUACAGGCAGCAUGGUAGGAAUACUAGUUACGUUUUUAAAAACCUCAAUGCCCUCUUUUCACAUGCCAUUAUCUGUAACCAGUCAUGAUAUAUAAAUAGAUGACCUACUAGUUCUGUCUUAUAAAUCCAGAUGACUGAUUAUAGAUAUAGGAAAAGCUUAAAUAAAGGCUAUUAAAAAUAAAAUUCAACUAACAAAACUCCCUGUUUAGCUCGUGGUGAUUUACAAAUUCUCUCAACCAAAAAAUGUGAAUCAUUCACUUAAACAGCUGCAUAGUAAAGACAAGGGCCAAGGAAGAUAAGCACUCUUGGGGACUUAAAAGUUCGGGGUUGGUAAUAUCCAGUAUGCUACAACUCUAGGAAAUGAAACCUGUUCUCACAAACUAAGAGUACUAAAGUGUAAUUCAGUUUUCUUUCUGUAUUAAUGGCAUAAAGAUAAUUUAACACGUAGAAUAUGAAAUUUUAAAUAUAUAAUCUAAAGAAGACCAGCAACCAAAAAUACAAAAAUUACAGCUGACAAGGUUAUUUUUAGGCAGGUAAAAAUGUAAUCCAUGCAUUAGUCUGCAGUGAUCUAUGUAUUAACAUUUAUACAUUUCUGAUGUUUACUUCCUCAUAGAUGUUGAAAAUAAAUUAAUGUGAUGUUAUAAGCAAGGGAUUGCGAGAUGCAGACAAAUCACUUAAUAGCAAUGCAGCUGUGAGGGAACCUUACAGCACUGACACUAUAUUCCUUAACACUAUGCCAAAUAGCACAGAGGUAAGGUCUAAUUAAAACCUAAAAAUUUAAAUUAUAUCCUACAUCUGUACAACAUUAUCAUGAUACCUGCACCUUAGAUCUGUGAAAUGAAGGUUUGUAGGAAAUAAAUAUAUAUAUAUAUAUAUAUAUAUAUAUAUAUAUCUCUAUCUAUAUGAUGUGCAGGUUAAUGUCCUCUAUGUUGCUCUUGUUUAUUAUGGGUUGUAAGUGUUAAGUAUAUAUGUCAGUUAUUGUAUCCAAGUAACAAAAAUUUGUUUAUGGAUGUCCUCAGUAUCUUCUGUUGUGUUAUUUGCAAACACAUAACUAAACAAAAGUACAUUGGAUUUUGGCAGACUAUUUGCAUAAUAUGUUUCUGUCCAUAGUUUUUUUUCUUCAGGACUGUAAACAAAUUAAAAACAAAAAUCACUUAAUAAAACAAAUAAAAUAAGACAUUUAUUUACAGCUGUGAAUCACCACAGUUUAUUCUAUGAUUAAAUGCAGUUUAUAAUGUGCUAUUAUAUUUAAAUCCCAACACUAAUUUGUACCAUUCUCAUAUUUGUUUAGCUGUGGAGUUUGAUUUACUGAUAGACACUUAAAAUUACACUACAGUUUUAUUAUCUAUUGAUUGUUUUUAUAUUCCCUUACAUUGUGUGUAUA